UACGAAGGGGGCUAGCGUUGCUCGGAAUUACUGGGCGUAAAGGGCGCGUAGGCGGAUAUUUAAGUUGGGGGUGAAAUCCCGGGGCUCGACCUCGGAAUUGCCUUCAAAACUGGAUAUCUUGAGUUCGGGAGAGGUGAGUGGAACUCCGAGUGUAGAGGUGAAAUUCGUAGAUAUUCGGAAGAACACCAGUGGCGAAGGCGACUCACUGGCCCGAUACUGACGCUGAGGCGCGAAAGCGUGGGGAGCAAACAGG
rnacentral:rRNA from 1 species